rnacentral:rRNA from 1 species
UACGUAGGGUGCAAGCGUUGUCCGGAAUUAUUGGGCGUAAAGAGCUCGUAGGCGGUCUGUCGCGCGAAUGUGAAAAUCCGAGGCUCAACCUCGGACUUGCAGUGGGUACGGGCAGACUAGAGUGUGGUAGGGGAGACUGGAAGUUCCUGGUGUGAGCGGUGGAAUGACGCAGAUAUCAGGAGGAACACCGAUGGCGAAGGCAGGUCUCUGGGCCAUUACUGACACUGAGAAGCGAAAGCAUGGGGAGCGAACAGG